UGAGCUGGCCGCAAGGCCCUGGUUCAUCUACUGGCGAGGUCUUCCUCG
rnacentral:ncRNA from 1 species